rnacentral:rRNA from 1 species
AGUGAACGCUGGCGGUAGGCCUAACACAUGCAAGUCGAACGGCAGCACAGUAAGAGCUUGCUCUUACGGGUGGCGAGUGGCGGACGGGUGAGGAAUACAUCGGAAUCUACUUUUUCGUGGGGGAUAACGUAGGGAAACUUACGCUAAUACCGCAUACGACCUACGGGUGAAAGCAGGGGAUCUUCGGACCUUGCGCGAUUGAAUGAGCCGAUGUCGGAUUAGCUAGUUGGCGGGGUAAAGGCCCACCAAGGCGACGAUCCGUAGCUGGUCUGAGAGGAUGGUCAGCCACACUGGAACUGAGACACGGUCCAGACGCCUACGGGAGGCAGCAGUGGGGAAUAGUGGACAAUGGGCGCAAGCCUGAUCCAGCCAUACCGCGUGGGUGAAGAAGGCCUUCGGGUUGUAAAGCCCUUUUGUUGGGAAAGAAAAGCAGCAGGUUAAGACCCCGCUGUUCUGACGGUACCCAAAGAAUAAGCACCGGCUAACUUCGUG